rnacentral:rRNA from 1 species
UAAUUGAAGAGUUUGAUCAUGGCUCAGAUUGAACGCUGGCGGCAGGCCUAACACAUGCAAGUCGGGCGGUAACAGGGAGAAGCUUGCUUCUCCGCUGACGAGCGGCGGACGGGUGAGUAAUGUAUGGGGAUCUGCCUGAUGGCGGGGGAUAACUACUGGAAACGGUAGCUAAUACCGCAUAAUGUCUGCGGACCAAAGCGGGGGACCUUCGGGCCUCGCGCCAUCAGAUGAACCCAUAUGGGAUUAGCU